rnacentral:tRNA from 2 species
CGAAUCGUAGCUCAGGCGGGAGAGCGCCUCGUUGACAUCGAGGAGGUCGGCAGUUCGAUCCUGCCCGAUUCGACCA